GAAAUGCGAUAAGUAAUGUGAAUUGCAGAAUUCAGUGAAUCAUCGAAUCUUUGAACACACCUUGCGCUCCUUGGUAUUCCUUGGAGCAUGCCUGUUUGAGUAUCAUGAAAUCUUCAAAGUAAAUCUUUUGUUAACUCAAUUGGUUUCUACUUUGGUAUUGGAGGUCUUUGCAGCUUCACACCUGCUCCUCUUUGUUCAUUAGCUGGAUCUCAGUGUUAUGCUUGGUUCCACUCGGCGUGAUAAGUUAUCUAUCGCUGAGGACACUGUAAAAGGUGGCCAAGGUAAAUGCAGAUGAACCGCUUCUAAUAGUCCAUUGACUUGGACAAUACUUUUAUGAUCUGAUCUCAAAUCAGGUAUGACUACCCGCUGAACUUAAGC
rnacentral:misc_RNA from 1 species